GUAUCUGAGGUCUGACGAGGAUGAGAACCUCCGGGGGCAAGAGGUUCGACCCGAGCGAAGCGAGAGAACGUUGCGUCAGCAACGGCCCGCAGUGGCAAGUCAUCCUCUGUCACCGGCAG
rnacentral:sRNA from 2 species